CUGAACUUCGUAACCAAUUUCAUACACAUGCUCGAAGUCAACGUUAAGAAAGAGUGAAACACGCGAGCGAAAUCAAGUUACAGAUACAAGAUAUAUCUAAAGAUGGCACCCAUUAUUACAAUGCCAAUUCCACCACCGAUUCCAUCAGUUGAUGAGGACUUCAAAAUCCUGCUUCUAGUUUAACCUUAAUCACUUCCCAGAUGACGUCAAGUGUUUUCAGAAUAAUUCCGGAUUGUGAAAAUUUUUCACAAGCUAAUUUCGACUUCAAAAUUCUAUGUAUAAAUUCAAAAGCUUAACAAAUGGCAGAAAUAAUUGACAUAAAAACUCCAGUCUCCAGAAAAUCUUACACGCAAGCGAGAGAAUCAAAAAGUCUUAUAUUUGCAUAACUUCCAUUGCUUUACGGAUGGCGCCAACCAUUAUUUGAAAUGCUACAUCAGUUAAUUGAGACUUCAAAAUUCUAUUGUAUGUAUAACUCCAAUCGCUUCAGACACGGUACCAAUAAUAUUCAUUAUGAUUCCGGACACAAAACUAGUUCUAUAAGUUAAUGGUGACAUCAAAUUUCUCCUCUUUGUAUAUAUCACAACCCGUAGAGUAAGAAACUUGCCUCUAGAUUAUAAUAAUAAUAAAAAUAAAAAUAGGAUCAUUAAAUUCAAUACACAAGACGAAA